GUUCUGCUGCAAGGCUUUCUAAGGAAUGGGCUCCCUUUAUAGCCCUCGCUCUGGAAAGUCUUAGGUCAUUCUAGGAGCUAUACCCCACACAUGCUCAGAGAUUGGACAAGCUUGACCCAAGGAGAGCUCAUUCACAGAUUUACCAUCAUUUAUUCAGAGGCUGGCAUACAGAGAUGACCUGGACCAACUAGAGUUUUCCCCUGGGAAAUCUAGAGUAAGAAACAAGGAAUGAAUUCCCAAGAAGCAAUUUUACUGGAGCUGUAAAAUUGCCACAGGCUUGAGGAAGUCAAAGACAUAUGCAGGAUGAUGUUAUGAAGUGAUGUAAAGAAGAAAGAAAAAGCUGGUAGAAGAAGAAUGAACUUGAGAGAAACUGAAUUGAAGAGAAGCCCUGAAAAGGUCUGUCCUCUGAUCCAUUCUGAUUUGUUUGAAUACUUUCUGGUACUACCACCCUUCUCCCCCAUGUCAACGCUUCUUAGACUUUUCUACCCAAGCAGCUCCAGAUGGCAGAAGGUCAUGAAUACAAACCCAGAAACCCUCAAUCUUCAGUUAGAACUUGGAACAAGCUGCUAUAAGCUCAACACUUCUUGGACAUCUCCUAUUUUAUCUUAUUGAUUUUUCUUUCUGCGUUAGUAUAUGUGCUGCCAAAGUGAACACUUCUUUCUGCUUUAUAUUAAUAUUCAUAUUUGAUUUCAUAGAAUUUCCUUCAAAUCUUCAUACAAAUGUGGAUACUCCCAAGAGGCAUAUUUUAUACUUCCUGUGAGCUGGCUGUGGUUUAUGUCGGUGUGCAUAUUCCAGUUUAAGUGUGAGCUAUGGGUAUCAGAAGAUGGACUCUUGCUGUGUUUUAAAGAAUAAGCUGCUUUACUUUUGACAUAAGGCAUUAAUCACGUGUGAUUUAAAUAUAUAAACGAUUAUCAGGUUUAUGGCAUCCUAUAAGAAGAGCUCAUGACUGAAUUUUUGUUGAGAAAUAUGUGAUUUGUUUUUAUAAGCUUUGCCUAAAAAUUUAUUAGAAGUAAUAAUAAUUUUUUUUUAAAAAAAAUCACUGUAAAGGCAGCACUAUGAGUGAACUAAGGGCAGGCUCCAGGGUCAGGUUUGAGUCCUGGCUUUACCAUUUUCCUAUCAUGUGACCUGCACAUGUUGCUUCACCUCUUGUGCCUAGUUUCCUCAUCUGUAAAAUGGGAUCUACAAUAAUACUUAAAAUGUCAGGCUGUAAGAAUGAAUAAAUUGAUAAGUAUAUGUAAAGCACUUUGAAUGUCUAGUGCUAAAAAAAUAUUAGAAAAAAAAUUAUAUGCAUAAAUGACGUUGAUAAUAUAUUGAGAUUUGUUUUAUGAAAGGAGUGACAUCCAUGUAAGGUUAAUUUCAGAGAACUGGGCGGGUGGAACUCAGGUUCUGCACUCCCAUGAGUUAGAACACCACAAGUUGACCUGUCGUACCCCUCCCAUCAUCAUAUUGCCACAAUGGUUCACAGCAGGCUACCUCCCUUCUCUGGCUCAGAAGAUAAGCCAUGAAGCCAUUGGAAAGAGGCCAUCCAUCAUGACAUCACUUGAUAUAAUUAUUCUUUAGAAACUCCGUUCUCUGCCUGAGGUGGAAGUGUGCUGGGCAGGGUUGUCAGGAAACACAGCUGAACUGGCUUUGUCUUUGUGGCGCUGUCUUGUCUCUGCAGAUUAUUGUUUCAGGGUAUACAUUUUUUUGUUUGUUCCCACAUUUGGACUCAGAACCUUUAACCUUUUCAAAAAGACAAUGAUGAAGAUGCUCAUUGACACUGACCUCAGAGACCACCUCUCAAUGGAACCACUGGCAAUUGCUUUUUUUCCCCCCAUAACCUUGGUCCUUUAUGAUAAACCCAAUGUGAAUAUUUUUCAUUGUGUUGAUAGCCUAGCAACCAGGCUUUGGAUUUUACAUGUUUUACACUGUUUACACAAAGCCCAGCUUUCAGUUGAAUCUGCUCCCACUACAGCCCUGGGAUAAUAUUUCAGAAUGGAAAGGGCCUCAUUGUGGUUGUAAAAACAGACAACAGAAAUAGGUUUCAUAAACAAGAGCAAAAUAUAGGUAUUGUGUAUGUAAAAGAACAGUGAGAACAAAGCUCUCUUGAAUUUCUAAAGAGUGAGAAGAAUUGCCAUCAUUCAGAGUUCUCAGAGCUCACUGGCACAAGAAUGGGAUUCCCAUCUGAGCAGAAGAUCACUGUGUAGACCAUGUCUGACCACUGACUGAAUAUCUGCUCGAGGCCCAGAAACUUCCUUGUCUAGGAAACCAUCAUGACCAAACCAAUCUGCCAAGGUCAGCGCAGCCUGCUUUAAAAUCAUGGCUUUGAAAUCCAGCAGAAGAAAUUGCCAAGUGGGAAGGAGAAUCUGAAAUAGUAAACAAAGAAAGAAGAUGUGUGCUUCAUCACAUAAAUUGAAUUUGCAACAUGGAUGGAAACUUCAGUUCCCACUGAUGCACAGAACUCACUAGAAUUGACAUGCCCAGGCAGCCUUUGGUAGCAAGUCAGAGUGGUGCAAUGAAAGGUCCCAGGAGGAACACACCUCACCACAGUUCCAUUCCCUGAAAUACCUUGCCAAGAUGCUGUGGUUCUUCUGUGAGAAAGCACUCCUUCAUCUGUAUCAACAAGUUGUUCCCCCUAAGACAGCCGAUGUGUUUGUUUUGACCCUGAGUAAGCCACUAUUUCCUUUCCUUUGUUAGCAUUUUUCUUUUGCUCCUUGAAGCUACAAACUACCUCAAGGGCAAAUCAUUUAUUCCCCCUAUGCAUACUCAGUCCUCACUUAAUUGCUCAUGUACAGAACUUGAGAGGCCCAAAAGGAAAAAACACCACCAAGCAAAAUGCCAACAGGCUCUUAUACAUCUUUCUGUAAUGUACUUCUAGAACCAAAGAAACGAGGUGUCUUUUUGAUUGUGUUAUAAAAAGCAGAAGAGAAAAGUGAUACCUUCUCUACAGUUGUCCAUCAAAAGAUGAAUGGAUAAAGAAGAUGUGGUCUGUGUAUACAAUGGAAUAUUCCUCAGCCAUUAGAAAUGACAAAUACCCACCAU